rnacentral:rRNA from 1 species
AUUGAACGCUGGCGGCAUGCCUUACACAUGCAAGUCGAACGGCAGCACGGGAGCAAUCCUGGUGGCGAGUGGCGAACGGGUGAGUAAUAUAUCGGAACGUGCCCAGUAAUGGGGGAUAGCCCGGCGAAAGCCGGAUUAAUACCGCAUACGACCUACGGGUGAAAGCGGGGGAUCGCAAGACCUCGCGUUAUUGGAGCGGCCGAUAUCAGAUUAGGUUGUUGGGGGGGUAAAAGCCCACCAAGCCGACGAUCUGUAGCUGGUCUGAGAGGACGACCAGACACACUGGGACUGAGACACGGCCCAGACUCCUACGGGAGGCAGCAGUGGGGAAUUUUGGACAAUGGGCGCAAGCCUGAUCCAGCCAUGCCGCGUGUGGGAAGAAGGCCUUCGGGUUGUAAACCACUUUUGUCAGGGAAGAAACGGCUUUUUCUAAUAAAGAGAGCUAAUGACGGUACCUGGAGAAUAAGCACCGGCUAACUACGUGCCAGCCGCCGCAGUAACAC